ensembl:snoRNA
CAGCAUCUUUCUAAGGCUUAUGGCUGGUAGUAGAUGUGGGAUGGGAUCUCCAACUGUAUGCAAGAAUAACCUGGAGAGCCUUGGACAGCACAGGUCAGAAUAAUACUUGUAGCUGCCACUCAUCUUUCCUAUAUUA